CCUAAAGACAUAAGAGAGAGACUGAAAAAUAGCACAACCCGCCACAGAGGCUUAUUUUGGGUACACCUGAGGUUGAUCAAUACCUGUUUCAGAGACUGGCUGUGAAGAUUAAAAAGGAAACAUUAUUGUAAGCAAUGAGCUCAUAGUAAGCCCUAAAUAAAUGGUAUUCAUUAUUUUUAAGGUACGGUCCUUUUCUGCAUCAUUUCCAGGGCUUCUGAUUGAAUUGGAAGAUUUCCCUGACCUCUCGUGGUGAGAGUGAUGAUGAAAGCAACUAAGGAAGCCCUCCAGAAGCAAAUUAUGUAGCUGAAGCUGCAUGCUGGGAAGAAGAAAUGAAGAUGAACUUGUAAUGUUGAGUGCUGCAGGGGAGGCUAAUGGCGAGGCAUAGUGGAGCUGUUCUGGACAAGAAGGAAGCCUCAGAAGGGCCCCGAGCCUCUCCGUCAGAGAAAUAGUUGUCACCUUGGGAAAGCUUGCCAGUUCCUGCUGCCAACCAUUUUCCUUCAUGCUACUGAAAAAAACUCUCUCAAAUGCCUUAGGCCUCUCCUUGAUUUAUUUUAUUUAAGACAUUAUUCUUUUUCCUGUAUUUAAAAAGGCAAACAACAACAAACCCAACCAGGAAGUAUAUGUAGUUGCCAAAGUAGAAAAGAACAUAGAAGUAAACUGGAUAACAAUUUUGGAAAGCAGGGGUAGUAACCCAAGGUUCUGUGUUAAAUAAAGAAAAGAGAUCUAAUAUGAA